rnacentral:rRNA from 1 species
AUUGCAGGCUGCAACCCGCCUGCAUGAAGUCGGAAUUGCUAGUAAUCGCAGAUCAGAAUGCUGCGGUGAAUACGUUCCCGGGUCUUGUACACACCGCCCGUCACACCAUGGGAGUUGGAAAUGCCCGAAGCCAGUGACCCAACCGUAAGGAGGGAGCUGUCGAAGGUGGAGCCGAUGACUGGGGUGAAGUCGUAACAAGGUAGC